rnacentral:rRNA from 1 species
GAAAUUCGCCUUCAUGAAGUCGGAAUUGCUAGUAAUGGCAGGUCAGCAUACUGCCGUGAAUACGUUCCCGGGCCUUGUACACACCGCCCGUCACACCAUGAGAGUUGGAGAUACCCGAAGCCUGUGAGCUAACAGAAAUGGAGCAGCAGUCGAAGGUAGAAUCAAUGAUUGGGGUGAAGUCGUAACAAGGUACC